rnacentral:hammerhead_ribozyme from 1 species
AUCCAAUUGACGAGUCCCAAAUAGGACGAAACGCUCGCCCUCGAU